rnacentral:rRNA from 1 species
UACGGGGGGGGCAAGCGUUGUUCGGAAUUACUGGGCGUAAAGGGCUCGUAGGUGGCCAACUAAGUCAGACGUGAAAUCCCUCGGCUUAACCGGGGAACUGCGUCUGAUACUGGAUGGCUUGAGUUCGGGAGAGGGAUGCGGAAUUCCAGGUGUAGCGGUGAAAUGCGUAGAUAUCUGGAGGAACCCCAGAGGCGAAGGCGGCGUCCUGGCCCAUUUCUGACGUUCAGACAUGACAGCAUGGGGAGCGAACGGG